UUGCUCUUCAACGAGGAAUGCCUAGUAAGCGUACGUCAUCAGCGUGCGUUGAUUACGUCCCUGCCCUUUGUACACACCGCCCGUCGCUACUACCGAUUGAAUGGCUGAGUGAGGCCUUCGGACUGGCCCAGGGAGGUCGGCAACGACCACCCAGGGCCGGAAAGUUGGUCAAACUCCGUCAUUUAGAGGAAGUAAAAGUCGUAACAAGGUUUCCGUAGGUGAACCUGCGGAAGGAUCAUUAAAGAGUAAGGGUGCUCAGCGCCCGACCUCCAACCCUUUGUUGUUAAAACUACCUUGUUGCUUUGGCGGGACCGCUCGGUCUCGAGCCGCUGGGGAUUCGUCCCAGGCGGGCGCCCGCCAGAGUUAAACCAAACUCUUGUUAUUUAACCGGUCGUCUGAGUUAAAAUUUUGAAUAAAUCAAAACUUUCAACAACGGAUCUCUUGGUUCUCGCAUCGAUGAAGAACGCAGCGAAAUGCGAUAAGUAAUGUGAAUUGCAGAAUUCAGUGAAUCAUCGAAUCUUUGAACGCACAUUGCGCCCCUUGGUAUUCCGAGGGGCAUGCCUGUUCGAGCGUCAUUACACCACUCAAGCUAUGCUUGGUAUUGGGCGUCGUCCUUAGUUGGGCGCGCCUUAAAGACCUCGGCGAGGCCACUCCGGCUUUAGGCGUAGUAGAAUUUAUUCGAACGUCUGUCAAAGGAGAGGAACUCUGCCGACUGAAACCUUUAUUUUUCUAGGUUGACCUCGGAUCAGGUAGGGAUACCCGCUGAACUUAAGCAUAUCAAUAAGCGGAGGA
rnacentral:rRNA from 1 species